rnacentral:precursor_RNA from 15 species
CCCAGCAGAGAGGGCCAGGGCCUGCAGGUGACAUGAACCAAAACUUCUAGUUUAGUUUUUAUAUAAAUUGAAAGUAUUGGUUCAUGCUGUCUAUGGGCCACUUACAUGCCUGAAUUCCU